rnacentral:rRNA from 1 species
AGAGUUUGAUCAUGGCUCAGAACGAACGCUGGCGGCAGGCCUAACACAUGCAAGUCGAACGCCGUAGCAAUACGGAGUGGCAGACGGGUGAGUAACGCGUGGGAACCUUCCCAAUGGUACGGAAUAGCCCAGGGAAACUUGGAGUAAUACCGUAUACGCCCGUAAGGGGAAAGAUUUAUCGCCAUUGGAUGGGCCCGCGUCGGAUUAGCUAGUUGGUGAGGUAACGGCUCACCAAGGCGACGAUCCGUAGCUGGUCUGAGAGGACGAUCAGCCACACUGGGACUGAGACACGGCCCAGACUCCUACGGGAGGCAGCAGUGGGGAAUAUUGGACAAUGGGCGCAAGCCUGAUCCAGCCAUGCCGCGUGAGUGAUGAAGGCCUUAGGGUUGUAAAGCUCUUUUGGCGGGGACGAUAAUGACGGUACCCGCAGAAUAAGCCCCGGCUAACUUCGUGCUAGCCGCCGCGGUAAUC